UACGGAGGGUGCAAGCGUUAAUCGGAAUUACUGGGCGUAAAGCGCACGUAGGCGGACGACUAAGUCGGAUGUGAAAUCCCUGGGCUUAACCUGGGAACUGCAUCCGAUACUGGUCGCCUAGAGUAUGGAAGAGGGAAGCGGAAUUCCAGGUGUAGCGGUGAAAUGCGUAGAUAUCUGGAGGAACAUCAGUGGCGAAGGCGGCUUCCUGGUCCAAUACUGACGCUGAGGUGCGAAAGCGUGGGGAGCAAACAGGAUUAGAUACCCUUGUAGU
rnacentral:rRNA from 1 species